GAUGAACGCUGGCGGCGUGCUUAACACAUGCAAGUCGAACGAAGCACUCUAUUUGAUUUUUUUCGGAAAUGAAGAUUUUGUGACUGAGUGGCGGACGGGUGAGUAACGCGUGGGUAACCUGCCUCAUACAGGGGGAUAACAGUUGGAAACGACUGCUAAUACCGCAUAAGCGCACAGUACUGCAUGGUACAGUGUGAAAAACUCCGGUGGUAUGAGAUGGACCCGCGGCUGAUUAGCUAGUUGGUGGGGUAACGGGCUACCAAGGCGACGAUCCGUAGCCGACCUGAGAGGGUGACCGGCCCCAUUGGGACUGAGACACGGCCCAAACUCCUACGGGAGGCAGCAGUGGGGAAUAUUGCACAAUGGGGGAAACCCUGAUGCAGCGACGCCGCGUGAACGAAGAAGUAUUUCGGUAUGUAAAGUUCUAUCAGCAGGGAAGAUAAUGACGGUACCUGACUAAGAAGCACCGGCUAAAUACGUGCCAGCCGCCGCGGUAA
rnacentral:rRNA from 1 species